UACGUAGGGUGCGAGCGUUAAUCGGAAUUACUGGGCGUAAAGUGUGCGCAGGCGGCGCUGCAAGUCGAGUGUGAAAUCCCCGAGCUUAACUUGGGAAUUGCGCUCGAAACUACGGCGCUGGAGUAUGGCAGAGGAAGGUGGAAUUCCACGUGUAGCGGUGAAAUGCGUAGAGAUGUGGAGGAACACCGAUGGCAAAGGCAGCCUUCUGGGCCAAUACUGACGCUCAUGCACGAAAGCGUGGGGAGCAAACAGG
rnacentral:rRNA from 1 species